rnacentral:tRNA from 1 species
GGAGAGUUGACGGAGUGGUCUAUCGUGCCCGUCUUGAAAACGGGUGUCCCGCAAGGGACCGGGGGUUCGAAUCCCUCACUCUCCG